GUAGGGAAUAUUGGGCAAUGGUCGGAAGACUGACCCAGCCAUGCCGCGUGCAGGAAGACGGCCCUCUGGGUUGUAAACUGCUUUUAUCUGGGAAGAAAAAGGCCAUGCGUGGCAAAUUGCCGGUACCAGAUGAAUAAGCACCGGCUAACUCCGUGCCAGCAGCCGCGGUAAUACGGAGGGUGCGAGCGUUGUCCGGACUUAUUGGGUUUAAAGGGUGCGUAGGCGGCUGAUUAAGUCAGCGGUGAAAGACUUCGGCUUAACCGGAGCAGUGCCGUUGAUACUGGUUGGCUUGAGUGUCGGAGGGGUACAUGGAAUUGAUGGUGUAGCGGUGAAAUGCAUAGAUACCAUCAGGAACACCGAUAGCGAAGGCAUUGUACUGGCCGACAACUGACGCUGAUGCACGAAAGUGUGGGGAUCGAACAGGAUUAGAUACCCCGGUAGUCC
rnacentral:rRNA from 1 species